UAACUAAAAGGGGAGACAAGCAUGAAUAUUAAAAUUUUAAAAAUGGGCCAAGAGUUUUAUUCAUUGCUCCUUGAAUGUGCUGACCCCUCUCAUUUACCCAAAUGUGGAAAAUUCAACUGCAUGAUUUGUGGUAGUGGGGACUACAUUUGAGCUUCCCCCUU
rnacentral:snRNA from 1 species